GCAUUGAUAGUGUAGGGGUAUCAUGAGUCGUUGCCAGCCUCAUCGUCAGUUUGUUCCGACGGUUAACCGAUUCGACUCGACCGGGGUUCGAGUCCCCGUCAAUGCA
rnacentral:tRNA from 1 species